UCACCUCUGAAGGUGACUGUAGCCGGAAUAUUAAAACAGGUCUGCUCCUUGCAAGGAAAGUUAUGAUAAACCCAGACAUUGUAUGGAAAAGGCAUAUAUAAUUCCAGAAUACCUAAAGAGUGAAACGCAAUUUUGAAAGCUAUCAUAGUCGUUGCAUUUCUAAGUAUAAAGUGUUUGGUGAACCAUGAGUUUGAAGCAGUACCUGAAGGCCUUGCCACAUUCUGUACACUAGCAAGGUUCUCGCUAGGAUGGAUCAUCUGAUGGUUGGUAAGGUGUGACCCUGAGGUAAAGGUUCUACACACUCAUGUCACAUGUACGCUUUCUCUCCAGAAUGAGUUCUUUACUGAAUCCUGACUUCAGACGGUUGUCUAAAUCCCCUGAUGCACUCAUUUCAGUGAUAUAGCUUCUACCUAGGGAAUAUUCUCAAGAAGCCAAAGGUGUAAACACCUGAAAAGCCUGGCCACAUUGAUUGCAGUCGUAUGGUCUCUGCAGUAUGGAUCACCUGAUGUCUUUUCAGGCCUGAAUGCCAACUGAAGGAUUUGCCACUCUCGUACACUUGUAAAGUCUCUCUAUAUUAUGAAUAAUCUGAUGAUGGGAAUGAUCAGCCCAUUACUGAAGCUCUGACCACACACAUUAUAUUUAUGAGUCCCUCCAAUCUAGACUGGAGGGAUUGACUGCGCUCUAAAUGUAUGGCUUCUCACCAGUAUGAAUUUUGUAAAAUCCAAAUGGCUUCCGAAACACAUAACACAGGCACUAGGAACUGCCUGAUGCGGAGUUAAGGAUGACUGUGCAAUAAAACGUUUGUCACAAUU